CCUUUGUACACACCGCCCGUCGCUACUACCGAUUGAAUGGCUCAGUGAGGCGUCCGGACUGGCCCGGAGAGGUGGGCAACUACCACUCAGAGCCGGAAACUUGGUCAAACUUGGUCAUUUAGAGGAAGUAAAAGUGUAACAAGG
rnacentral:rRNA from 1 species